rnacentral:rRNA from 1 species
UACGAGGGGGGCAAGCGUUGUUCGGAAUUAUUGGGCGUAAAGGGUGCGUAGGCGGUUUUGUAAGUCUUGUGUGAAAUCUUCAGGCUCAACUUGAAGACUGCACGAGAAGCUGCAGGGCUUGAGUGUGGGAGAGGUGAGUGGAAUUCCUGGUGUAGCGGUGAAAUGCGCAGAUAUCGGGAGGAACACCGGUGGCGAAGGCGGGACUCUGGGCCGAUACUGACGCUGAGGAGCGAAAGCGUGGGGAGCGAACAGG